AACGAACGCUGGCGGCGUGGCUAAGGCAUGCAAGUCGAACGAACAUAUUCCAAGGGUAACUGAGGGAUAUGUUAGUGGCGAACGGGUGAGGAAUACAUGGACAACGUACCCUGGACUCGGGGAUAGCGGCGGGCCGCAAGGCUCUUUAGCGAAAGUGCCGGUAAUACCCGAUGACCCCGCGUGAUCGCAUGAUCGAGCGGGCAUAGCUCCGACGGUCCGGGAUCGGUUCAC
rnacentral:rRNA from 1 species